rnacentral:rRNA from 1 species
GUCAGAGUUUGAUCCUGGCUCAGAGCGAACGCUGGCGGCAGGCCUAACACAUGCAAGUCGAACGGACCCUUCGGGGGUUAGUGGCGGACGGGUGAGUAACACGUGGGAACGUGCCUUUAGGUUCGGAAUAGCUCCUGGAAACGGGUGGUAAUGCCGAAUGUGCCCUUCGGGGGAAAGAUUUAUCGCCUUUAGAGCGGCCCGCGUCUGAUUAGCUAGUUGGUGGGGUAAUGGCCACCAAGGCUACGAUCAGUAGCUGGUCUGAGAGGAUGACCAGCCACAUUGGGGACUGAGACACGGCCCAAACUCCGUACGGAGGCAGCAGUGGGGAAUCUUGCGCAAUGGGCGAAAGCUGACGCAGCCAUGCCGCGUGC